CUGUUAUCGGGCCCCUGGUUGGCUGUCUGACAAGUAUGAAAACCCUUGCCCUUUUUUGCGCACCCUUAGUUUCCUCGGCAGCCAUGGCUGCCAGCGGGGACCCCGAAAAACCCUUCUUGCAAUACCUGUUAAACCUUCUGAAAAUACCCAAUCGUUA
rnacentral:misc_RNA from 1 species